AGUCGAGGGGUAUAGUAGCAAUACUAGAGACCGGCGCACGGGUGCGUAACGCGUAUGCAAUCUACCUUUUGCAGAGGGAUAGCCCAGAGAAAUUUGGAUUAAUACCUCAUAGUAUAGCAACUUCGCAUGAAGUCACUAUUAAAGUCACAACGGCAAAAGAUGAGCAUGCGUCCCAUUAGCUAGUUGGUAAGGUAACGGCUUACCAAGGCGACGAUGGGUAGGGGUCCUGAGAGGGAGAUCCCCCACACUGGUACUGAGACACGGACCAGACUCCUACGGGAGGCAGCAGUGAGGAAUAUUGGUCAAUGGGCGCAAGCCUGAACCAGCCAUGCCGCGUGCAGGAUGACGGUCCUAUGGAUUGUAAACUGCUUUUGUACGGGAAGAAACCCUCCAACGUGUUGGAGCUUGACGGUACCGUAAGAAUAAGGAUCGGCUAACUCCGUGCCAGCAGCCGCGGUAAUACGGAGGAUCCAAGCGUUAUCCGGAAUCAUUGGGUUUAAAGGGUCCGUAGGCGGUUUGGUAAGUCAGUGGUGAAAGCCCAUCGCUCAACGGUGGAACGGCCAUUGAUACUGCUAGACUUGAAUUAUUAGGAAGUAACUAGAAUAUGUAGUGUAGCGGUGAAAUGCUU
rnacentral:rRNA from 1 species